rnacentral:SRP_RNA from 1 species
GGAUUGCUUGAGCCCAGGAGUUCUGGCCUGUCAUGUACUGUGACCAUGAGGUGUCCACACUAAGUUCCACAUCAAUACGGUGACCUCCUGGGAGUGAGGGACCAACAGGUUGCCUAAGGAGGAGUGAAGCAGCCCAGGUCAGAAAUGGAGCAGGUCAAAACUUUCAUGCUGAUCAGUAGAGGAAUUGUACCUGUGAAUAGCCACACUGCAGCCUGGGCAACAUAGCAAGA